AUUAAAAUGCGAAGCUAGAUCGAGGAAAGGAAAAAGUUUGGGAUUAGUAGAUUUUUACUGUUUACAAACAAGUAUCAAGUGUUAAGGGCUCGGAGGUCGGAUUUGGUCGGAGACACAUCACACUGUCAACCUCAGGAUUUCGGUAUAUAAAGAAACUUUAUUUUGGAAAUCAAUGGCAUGUAUAAGCUAACAAAGUAAAUGUUAACUUGAAAUGAAUGUAAAGUUAGCCAUUAGUAUGGUUAACAAA